rnacentral:tRNA from 1 species
GGGAGAAUGUCCCGAGCGGCAAAGGGGGCGGACUGUAAAUCCGCUGCGUAAGCUUCGAAGGUUCGAGUCCUUCUUCUCCCACCA